GAUGAACGCUGGCGGCGUGCCUAACACAUGCAAGUCGAACGAAUUACUUUAAAGGAAGUUUUCGGAUGGAAUUUAAAGUAGUUAGUGGCGGACGGGUGAGUAACGCGUGGGAAACCUGCCCUAUACAGGGGGAUAGCCUCGGGAAACUGGGAUUAAUACCCCAUAAAACUCUAGUAUCGCAUGAUACAUGAGCCAAAGAUUUAUCGGUAUAGGAUGGUCCCGCGUCUGAUUAGCUAGUUGGUGAGGUAACGGCUCACCAAGGCGACGAUCAGUAGCCGGCCUGAGAGGGUGAACGGCCACACUGGAACUGAGACACGGUCCAGACUCCUACGGGAGGCAGCAGUGGGGAAUAUUGCACAAUGGGGGAAACCCUGAUGCAGCGACGCCGCGUGAGCGAAGAAGGCCUUCGGGUCGUAAAGCUCUGUCCUAAGGGAAGAAACGGACGGUACCUUAGGAGGAAGCCCGGCUAACUACGUGCCAGCAGCCGCGGUAAAGUACUCUAU
rnacentral:rRNA from 1 species